AUGGAGCCCAUUCCUCUCAUGACUCCCUACCAAAUGGGCCCAUUCGAGUUUUCUCACAGGGUCGUGCUGGCGCCGAUGACAAGGUCGAGAUCAUACGGCAACUUCCCGCAGCCGCAUGCCAUGCAGUACUACGCGCAAAGGGCCACGGAGGGUGGGCUCCUCAUCUCGGAGGCCACCGGCGUGUCGGCCGACGCGCAGGGGAUGAGCGCCAUCCCUCACACCCCUGGGAUCUGGACCAAGGAUCAGGUCCAGGCAUGGAGGCCCAUCGUGGACUCCGUGCACGCCAAGGGCGCCAUUUUCUUCUGCCAGAUCUGGCACGUUGGGCGAGCGUCCGACAUGCAGCAAGAACCCAUCUCCAGCACCGAUAAGCCGAUAGAGAGGACUCCAGAGAACUACUCCAUGGACUUCUCCACCCCCAGGAGCCUCACCGAGGAAGAGAUCCCCGAUGUCGUCAAUCAGUUCAGAAUUGCUGCCCGAAAUGCUCUUGAAGCCGGGUUCGACGGCGUGGAGCUGCACGCCGGGAACGGCUACCUCCUGGACCAGUUCAUGAAAGACGGCGUGAACGACCGCGCCGACGGCUACGGGGGCAGCCUUGAGAACCGCUGCCGCUUCACCCUCGAGGUGGUGGACGCCGUGUCGAACCAGAUCGGACCUUACUGCGUCGGCGUGCGCCUCUCGCCCUACUCCGGCUGCCUCAGCUGCCGCGACUCGGACCCGGACGAGCUGGCCGUGUACAUGGCCCGGGAGCUGAACCGCCGAGACAUCCUGUACCUCAACGUGGUGGAGCCCGAGAUGUCGUGGGAGGGCGACGCCGGGGCGCUUGGGGCGGGCCAUCACAGGCUGCAGGCGAUGAGGGACACCUUCGACGGGACGCUGAUGGUCGGCGGAGGGUACGGCAGGGAGGAGGGGAACUGCGCCAUCGCGGAAGAGUACGCCGACCUGGUCGCCUACGGCCGCCUCUUCCUCGCCAACCCCGACCUGCCGGAGAGGUUCCGGCGGAACGCGCCGCUGAACAAGUACGACCGGGCGACGUUCUACACCGACGAUCCCGUCGUCGGGUACACGGACUACCCGUUUCUCGGCCAGACGUCCAAGGGGAAUGGCAUGAUGUAG
rnacentral:rRNA from 1 species